rnacentral:snRNA from 1 species
GGAUGUGAGGGUGGUUUGACUGUGACAUCUGUCACCCCACUGAUCGCCAGGGUUGAUUCGAAUGAUCUGGCUGUCUAGGCAGGUGGCCUCUUCCUCCAUCACUGCUCCUUGUGCAUCCCUCUUAAAGCUGCAGAAAGCUGUAUGUGUUCUGUUGCACUCUGUGGAAGAGGAUGACCACCUGGGAUAAAGGAGGAUCUUCUCCUCAGUCAAAGGUGUAUGAGUAGCUUCGCUCCCCUGCUAUCCAAACAAGCUCUCAAGAAGUCAGAAUGUGGUUGCAUUUGAGAGUGCUGUAAACUCCACUGGAAAGUAGCAUGGGGAAACUUUCUGGGCU